GCUUUCAGUAGCUCAAUUGUUAGAAGAUGAGACUCUUAAUCUCAGGGUUGCGGGUUUGAACCCCACAUUGGGCA